GUAGGUGGCAAGCGUUGUCCGGAAUUAUUGGGCGUAAAGCGCGCGCAGGCGGUUCUUUAAGUCUGAUGUGAAAGCCCACGGCUCAACCGUGGAGGGUCAUUGGAAACUGGAGAACUUGAGUACAGAAGAGGAAAGCGGAAUUCCACGUGUAGCGGUGAAAUGCGUAGAGAUGUGGAGGAACACCAGUGGCGAAGGCGGUCUUUCGUGGUCUGUAACUGACGCUGAGGCGCGAAAGCGUGGGGAGCAAACGAGGAUUAGAUACCCGUGGUAGUCCACGCCGUAAACGAUGAGUGCUAAGUGUUAGGGGGUUUCCGCCCCCCUUAGUGCUGCAGCUAACGCAUUAAGCACUCCGCCGUGGGAGUACGGCCGCAAGGCUG
rnacentral:rRNA from 1 species